GACGAACGCUGGCGGCGUGCUUAACACAUGCAAGUCGAACGGAAAGGCCUGCUUUCCCUUGUGGAUUGCGGGUACUCGAGUGGCGAACGGGUGAGUAACACGUGAGUGAUCUGCCCCCAACUUGGGUAUAAGCCUGGGAAACUGGGUCUAAUUCCCGAUAGGACUGCAGGGUGGUGCCUGUGGUGGAAAACGAUUUUCUAGUGGUUGGGGAUGAGCUCGCGGCGUAUCUGCUUGUUGGUGGGGUAAUGGCCUACCAAGGCGGCGACGGGUAGCCGGCCUGAGAGGGUGGACGGGCACAUUGGGACUGAGAGACGGCCAAGACUCCUACGGGAGGCAGCAGUGGGGAAUAUUGCACAAUGGGCGGAAGCCUGAUGCAGCGACGCCGCGUGGGGGAUGACGGCCUUCGGGUUGUAAACUCCUUUCGACCGCGAGGAAGCCACCUGGUUGGAAGGGUGGUGACGGUAGUGGUAGAAGAAGCACCGGCUAACUACGUG
rnacentral:rRNA from 1 species